rnacentral:tRNA from 1 species
GCUGCAUGGUGUAGUGGUAUCAUGCAAGAUUCCCAUUCUUGCGACCCGGGUUCGAUUCCCGGGCAGUG